GCAUUAUGCUAAGUUCUGAAGAUACAGAGAAGAUUACAACAGGGUCCCUCGCCUUAGGCGCUCACAGUCAUGAGCCAGGACACAGAUAUUGGACUAAAAGAGGAAAAUUAAAUGUCACGAGUGCUGUGAGACAGAAGGCGAGGCUGCCCUGGUAGCAACAAAGGAGGUGGCAGCCUCUCCUCCAGAUCCUGUAAUGAGGACUGUGGCCAGCCUCUGAGUAGCUUCAGGACAGGCUUGUCUUGAUGUGGGGGAACAGGGUCGAUGACCUCAAGAGGCCCCUUUUAGCCACAGGAAUCUGUCAUGUGGAGUUCUCAAUUGCUGGCUUUGCUGGAAAAGAGAGAGAGAAAAAAAGAGGGAAGAAAUAGAGGGGCCGGUCAGCCCUCCUGGACAUUUAUGCUUGCGGUCUCAAACCUCCAUUUCCUGGGGCUGCAGGCUGUGUGUGGGAGGCGUGCAUGGUGGCUUGGCCGGCCCGGCGCUCCUGCAGCCCGCUCUGGGGACGGCUGUCUGUUGGCAGUCCCCUCCCUGUGCAGCGGUGGCGGCCGGUGUGGACAGACCUCCUCUCUGUCUGGCUCGUCAGCGUCCUGUGGCAAAGGGUAGAGUGGAGCCUGUGUUUCUGAUGGCCGCUCCACCCCUCAGAGUGGGGCAGUCUAGUGAUUCUGAGGGUGACGCUGGCAUGUGCCCCUCGGCCCCAUCCCCCUCAAGGGAGAUUGUGGACAAGGCAGCUUUUCUAAUAAGCAGCCUCUGCUUGCCCUGUAGGAGAUGAAAGACUGUGUGUAAGAGUGGGUAAUUUUGGGUUUUCCUGAUGAAAGCAGUUGACAUUUGUUCAGACCUCGUGCACACAGCUCCCCUGCCUUUCAUCUCUGCUAUGAAAGCCUGGCCCGUCUUUGGCCUGCAUCCGGGACGGGCAGUGCCACCGGAACUGAACUGGGCCAAUGGCAAACUAUAAAGGAAACGGGUGGAAUGACCCUGGGGGGCUGUGGAUGGAGGAGUGGACACCGCAGGGCGAGUUCUGACUUUCCUGGAGGGGCUGCUCCCUGGUGUCGGAUUGUGCAUUGCGGUGCCGUGGAAAGAGCACGCCCUGUGGAGCCGGGCAGGGCUGGCUGAAUCCGAGUGCCGGCUCCUCCCCUUCCACACUGAGUGAAUGUAGGGGGUCAUUUGUCCUCACUGAGCUGUGUCCUCAUUUGUCGGUGGGAUAAUAUCACUGCCAACUCUUGUGGCUUUCACAGCUCAUCUUAGGCGCUGUCUGGAGCCCAGUAGGUCCUCAGGAAUGUUCAUUGGCUUCUACCUGAAUGGGUGAACUUGACCUUUUGUGCUGUAGGCACUGUCAGACUGGAACUGGGGACUUGCGUUGUUCAACCACAUACAGUUCCCAUACAGUGUCUGCCGUAUAGCAGGUCCUCCUCAGUGACUGGCAGGUGGCUCCAUGGAGAAAGGAGAGUUUGCUUCCGCCUCUCGUACAGCUCGUCUAGCUUUGCAGAGAAAGAGAAUGAACAAAGAGGUUACAUAACUUGAGUCUCUGAAACAGGCCAGGUUGUACAGUCUUUCUCAUGUGCAUUCAUAACGCAGGGAGCAAAUGCUUCAGACUUGACUCAUUGAUGGAAUCCCUGCUGCAGUCCCAUCUAACCACCCAUGAGAUAAGUUGCUACCCAACAGGAGCAACCUGGCCACCUGUCUGUCCAAUUUGCUCUUGAAUACCUCCACUGCUGGAGCACUCAUUACCACUGAAAGAUGGUGUUGAUGCUUCUGAUGUUCUUUCUUCUGCUGAUGAGUGAUGGGCGCUUUCUCUGGGCUUUCUGUGUUCUGAUCCUCGGGGCCCUCCUGAUGAAACAGACCCCUGUCACAGAUGACAGCUUUUAAGUUGAUGAAGGCAGAUGCCACGUCCUUUCUGAGUCCUCUCCUCCAUUGGGUCAACCACCUACCUAGUUGAGUGGCAUUGGUUUUGCCCCUUAACCUCCCUGAGCUUGUUUCUGCAGUUCUUGAGCACUGUUUAAAGACGAGGUUCAAUGAAAUAAUGCACGUCCAGAACACAGGACAUGCUGAGUUCAUGUGGCACCCCCUCCCCAUGAUGCAGUUGCAUGUGGAGUUCAGGAACGUGACAGCCCUCCACUUUUAAACAGGGGGCAGGGAAGCCUCAGGUGGCAUUGGUUUGUGUGUUUAUUUAUUUUUUUUUGAGCAAGAUUAGCCCUGAGGUAACAUCUGCCAUGAAUCCUCUUUUUUGCUGAGGAAGACUGGCCCUGAGCUCACGUCCGUGCACAUCUUCCUCUACUUUAUAUGUGGGAUGCCUACCAUAGCAUGGCUUGCCAAGCGAUGCAUAGGUCCAUACUCGGGAUCUGAACCUGUGAACCCUGGGCCACCAAAGCGGAACGUGCGCACUUAACCGCUGUGCCACCGGGCCAGCCCCAUGUGUGUUUAUUUUUUAAAGCCACUUAUCCCCACGCUUCCUGUAGUGCCCGGGCGCUGGAGAGCAUGCCCGUUCUAAUGCGCGGCACCUUUUCAGCAGGCUGGGGAGCUGAAAGUUCCCUGAGCUCAUCUUAGAUGCUGAUUAUUUCAGGGAAACUGGCAGUGACUUCUUCUCCCACAUGGAAGGGAUUCAGGGAGCAAAGCCGUUUCCUCUUCUUAACCCUCCAGUCUGGAAAGUGACACUGUGUCAGUUUGUCAGGGUUUUAGGAGGAGGCCUUUGCAGACUGUGCCCUUCUCCUCCUUUUGUGAAAUUGUCUGUGGCGGGUUUGUCUCUCCCCUGAUUAGUCACCACCAGGCUCUGUUGGGAGACUCUGGCACAGGGCAGUGGAAAGGACACUGGACCAAGAGCCUGGAGGUUGGUGCCUGAUCUUUGCUCCGCCUGGAAGAGCUGCGUGGCCUCUGUUCAGGUUUUCACCCUGGCUGGGCCUCCCUUACCUGUUUAAGGGGUGGGUUGGCCUUUUCAGGCCCAGCAGUGUGGGCAUCCUGGGGGUCUCCAGGAAGGUCAGAAAGUGGAAGGAAAGCCCCCAUGGCCCCACCUGUAAGCCCGCCAUCCCGUUUUCAGGCUCCUCUCCCUUUUCUCCUGCACUGAAUGCCGUGUGUCCCAGCGCUUCGGGGGUUCUCUGAGUCUCCUGCCAUCUGCCAGGAGCAGCAGCAGGCAGCACAGCCUCUGCACGUGAAGAAGCAUCUAUAGCCAGGAUUGAAUCCAAAUGCCUUGGCCCGACACAUCCGCCCUUCAUUCUGAACUCAGCCUGCUCUCUUGCCUGCCCCCCCACCAGCCCUUCAUGCUGCAGCCACACAGAAGUUGAGGGGUCCUCCGUAUCUGUGUUCCUGCAGACAGACUGCACCGGGAAGCAGAAGUCAUCGUAACAUGAAAAUAUGCACUAAUAAACUCAUUGCUAACGUCCAGCCCACCCACAUCCGACGAUAAUCAGUCUUUUACUGAUUGCCAGACGUUGUAAACAUCUGUCAGUCCGGGGCACGAAUAGCAGAAACUCUUAACUGACCUCCAUUUGGCUCCUUUGCUGGAUUAAUUGAUGCUGCCCAUUCCGUUUGUACAGCAAACUGAGCGAGGCCCCAGGCUUACUGAUGGCUUGGGGCUGGUGGGCUGCUCACAAGCCCAGUUUUUCCAGAUUCAAAGUUUUGUUCUGCCCUAACUGUGUGGCCUUGGGCGAGUUAAAUAACCGCUCUGUGCCUGUAUGUUUCAUCUGCAAAAUCAUACUGAAACUAGUACCUACCUUCCAGGGUGAUGCUGAGCAUUAGAUGAAUUAAUACAUGUAAAAGCUUACAACGGUGUUUCCUGGCCCGUGGUAGACGCCCGUUGAAUGUUAGCUUUGAUAUUCAUGGGCCAGGAAGCCUUCUACCACCUGUAGAUUUGUGCGCUGGCCAAAAGUUGUGUUGGUAGUUACAUGUCACGUAAACUGAUGAGAAUUGAGUUUAAAAAGAAAGUUGUUGCCUGAAAAUUAAGUUUAGUACUUUGGAAAGAAUGGAUGACAUUGAUUCGCUAAAAAGUUGUCAUCGAAUCGCUUAGAGGCAAAACAGCUGUAAAAAAUAGGCCGAAAAAUUGUAAAACUGUAAGAGUCUGUAUUCCAUAUGCUUUGCAGAUGACUUAAGUUUUGCACUCCUUGAAAGAAAUGGAAAUCAGAAGUCGUAGAUGUUGAAUCGUGACUGUGUAUUUUGCAAGAAAGACAAUUGGCACGUCAGGUCAGUGGGCCAAAGAAAGACCCUGCCUUUCGAUUGGCUAAUAAAUGCGCAGCUGUACGGAAAUAGUUCACUGUCUGUCCUGGUUACGGUGGCUCACUUUUCCAAUGACAUACCAGUGCGGGAGUUGGGUCACAGGGCUUGUUCUCUCCAAGCAGAUCAACUGCCAGCAAUUGCUCGUCUUGCCCAGACUGCGGGGUUUCCUGAUGCAGGUGAAGGUGCUGUGGGCGUGCGGCGUGAAUUACGUGCACGUACCCAGCACCUCCUGUGUGCAGGCACUGCUGGAGCGCCUGAUACACUAGUGCUGACACAGGAAAGAGACACAGGCAUGGCCCUGAGAACUGCUGUCGGGGAGUCCUGGGGGGCUUCACCAUGGAGAGGAGGAGGAAAAGAUGAGGACCCUCUGGGCAAAUCAAAAGAAAGUGACUUAAAAAUAAAAACAGUUGCAAGGCGUUGGGAACAUUAACAAAGUCCUGAAAGAUGUUUUACAAAAUGAUGCUUUUUAAUGAUGUUUUUAAUGAUGCUUCUCACUUAAAAGAGUGAGAAGGUUUCUAUUGUGUGAGAAAACAUGUGCGAGGAAAACCUCGGGGUCAGUCAUUGUUUGCACAACUGACACUUAGAGCCCAGUUGAAAAUGACAACUUGAAAUUUAAGUAUGAGACAAACCUUGUUUUAUAUUUAUAAUUAUUUAUCAUUUAUAUAUGACAUUUAUAAUAUAUAAAUGAUAAAUUAUUAACUUAUGAAUAUAAAAUAUCUUACAAUUCUUUGUUUCUUUUUUCAAGAUAAAGUCUCCCAGAGGAGGGCUAGGACAAGUGACAGGAGUGGCCCCAGAUCACAGCCAAAUGAAGGGGAGCACUGGGAAUCGGGAGCAGGUGGUGGCAGUUUGUGUUGUUAAGAUAAAGGCUGCCCCUCCCCGUGGCACACACAUGUCUUACUUACUCUAAAUAUCUGGGCCUUAUUUUAAGUGGCUUCAAGUGGCUUUUUUUGAGGUCCUCUUCUCCACACAGUCCCAUGCCCCCAGGUCUUUGCUCUUGCUGUUUCCUCUUCCCUGCCUUAUCUGCACCUCUCUACGCUCCCUUCUUCUCUCUGCAUGGCCCUCAUCAGAGACUCCUUCUGUGUCUUGCUCAGGGUGCACGGGGGGAUCCCCUGAGCAAGGACCUGACUUCCUUCUCUGUGUCCCCCUGGCUCAGUCCCCCUGCCCACACAGCGGGAAGAAGGGAGGGCUGGGAGGUUUAGGAGGGAGGGGUCCUCCCAGGCUGGGGCAGGGCCUCUGUCCUUCCUGAGCUUGGCCUCCCUCUGCCUUUACUUCUGUGCCGACCUGGUGGAGACAGGAUGGGUGGGAAUUCCUAGAAUAGAUGGGGGAGGUGCUGAUGUGAGUCUGGCCUGGCUGUUCCCCUUGCGGCCAGCAGUGCCAUCCCUGUGCAUUAGCCCCUCUCAGAGGUCUCCAGGUCCCAGAAGGAGUCAUCGGAUGACCUAGGAGGCAUUAGCAGUCACCUCCCCACCCUGCAGUUUACCAGCAACACUGAUAGCCCCUGACGUGUGUUUUCGGCAGUGUUUUGUAGCUUCCAGAGAACAUUUCCUCACCCUGGUCGCUAAUUCUCAUUUGCUGAUUAGGCCACGGAAGAGGACUGGGACAAGUGACCGGAACUGCCCAGGGUCACAGCCCAGCGAAGGUACAGCUAGGAAUCGGAAGCAGGUGGUGGCGGUGGCCUUCUUAAUCACAAUGAUUAUAGCCACAUGAUGCUGGACGCCUUAGAGCACCAUCGUAUUUACUCACAAGUGACUCGUUGAAGCAAGUGGGCCUUUCCACUGUCUUUUACAGUGGGGGAUACUAAGGCGAGCAGGUUGAAGUCGGGCUGUGAGGCCCGAGAAUUCGUCCCAAGGUUCUCCCUCCACGUCCACCGUUCAGAUCAGGGCCCAGCACGGCUGCACUUGGACAGGCAUGGAUGGGGUAGGUUGGGGAGACCCCAGAAGGCGUUCCUCCUCCGCCUGUGCGCCUCUCACCGCCCUGGUUUGGAGCCCCCCCUUUCUGUUGGUGGGGGUCUCUGAAGGAAGACAUCCCCCCCGACCCCCAGCAUCUCAUGUUCUCAGGAGCCACGCAGAGCACAGUUGGAGCCAGAGACCUGCUGCUUUUGGUGCAAAGGCUGUUUGGUUUUAUUCCACAGGCAGUGCGGGGAAGAGAAGACUAAACAGUGGAGGCCCCUCCUAACCUGGGGGCACAGCGAGGAGGAGGAGGAGGAGGAAGGCAGUGUGCUGGAAACAAAGGGAGGGAAGGUGAGGGCAGAGUCUUACUGAUGGCGGCGCCCCCCGCGCGCUUCCCUGGGUUGUAUAAUCAGCUGUCACUUCGGCCUUUCCCCACAUCAGGCUUCACAAGUACAGAGUGAACAUUAAACAAACAGUGACUGCUCUAUAAAUAUUUAACUCCCACUGUUUAGGAAUUGCUCGGGGCAGGAGACGGAAUAAGAGUUCCUGGCUGUCGGCUGCGUGGCCCUCUGUCAUGGCGGUGGAUGGCUAGGAGUUUGGGUGCCGGGCAGCAGCUGUUCCAAAAGCCUUGUGGCUUUCAACUGGGCAUGUCUUCCCUCCUUUUGGAGGGUGUAUUUGGGGACACGUGUCUUUGUGUUCAUGGAGUAGUUCAGACCCAGCACGCUGUGUUCUAGAAGCCAUCAGCUAACAUUUCUGCCCAGUGGCUGGGAUCCAUCAUGAGUGGCAUUGUUGUCAUUCCUUCAUGUGACAGCAAAACUCUUCCUUUCUUUUUUUUUAACAGCAUUGUCAAGAUGUAAUUCACAUACGCUACAAGUCGCCCGUUUAAAAUGUACAGUUCAGUGGUUUUAAUAUAUUUGUGGAGUUGUGCAACCAUCACUACAGUCUGUUUUAGAACGUUUUUAUCACCCCCAAAAGAAACCCCAUAUGCAUUAGCGGUCCACCUCUUAUUACCCCCAAUUUACCCAGCCUUAGGAAACCGCAAAUCUCCUUUCUGUCUCUACAGAUUUUUCUAUUCUGGACAUUUCAUGUGAGUGGAAUCAUACCUGGGUUUUUUUGUGACUGGCUUACUUCACUUAGAUAUUGUUUCUAAGUUUCAUCCAUGAAACUUGUAGCAUGUGUCCAUACUUAAUUCCUUUCUGUGGCUGAAUAAUAUUCCGUUGUAUGGAGAGACCCCAUUUUGUUUACCCAUUCACCUGUUGAGGGACAUGUAGAGAGAGCAAAAGUCUUUAGCUGAAAAAUCAAGAUGUGACUGAUCCAGUGUCACAUGAUUGAGACUAAACUCACUCACAAAGCAGAGUCUCCACCAUUCUGGGAAAGGUCUAGGAGGUUACCUUAAAGCACGGCAUGGGGGUUAAAAUGUGUUCAGCUGACAAGCCACUCAGCUUUUAUGUAGCACUGACUGUAUGCCAGGCGUUGUAGUAGGCCCAUCUCCUAAUUUGUUGCAAAUAUCUGAUUGUAUAGUCCCUUCCUUAAAAAGAUCUACCCAUUUAUCAAAGCCCAUCCAGCUAGAUUUUUUUCGGGCGGGAGAACGGGAGAAUAAGUUUGUGUUCUUGGCCCAUUUCUUGUGAUUUCAGAUGUUGACUCUUUAGGAGAGAGGAGCAGAGAAGAGCUGCGACUCUCCGGGGUGCCCUUCCUGUCACCUCCCGCCGUGUUGUCCCUGGGUAGUGCUUUUCCCAUCCACAGUGGCCCUUGGAGUCCCAGAUGUUUCCAGCACUUAUUUGAAAGGCUGAUUCAGUCCAGGUCCAGUCCCUGGCUUAGGCAGGCUGGCUCUGCAGGAAAUGGUAAAAAAUGGGGCUGUUAUUGUUCCUGGUCAUCUAAUUAUGACUAACGGUAAUGGAUGCUGUGGAUGUCCUGCCCAAGUCCCCUUUACCAGACCGGCACACUCACCCCCAGCUGCUAAAGUUCACGGCACCCCCAUCUCUGGAGGUUUGCUGCCUCAUCCGGGAAGUUGCUCAUCUCCCCCCGCCCCCAGCCCCUGCUGACUCAGGGGCACAAAAGGCCAGCCCCCUUGCUUCAAAGUGGGGUGAACUCUGGGGUGCUGUUCACGUGCCAGAGCUCCCGGUGGGAUCAGGCUGAGGCGAGUGUCCGCCUGAAUCCACGUCCUUGCGGAGCCCCUCCGCUGUCUGUCCUGCGCCCCUCACUCCUUUUCUCCUGAGCAUGCUCCCCAGUCAACACCCAAACAAGAAUUCCCAUCUCAGGAUGUGUUCCUGGGGAGCACACCCUUCCUGGGUCCCUCUGAUGACGUUUACUUGGAGGUUCUCUGCCUGACCUUCCUGGCAGGGCCCGCUGGGUGUUCUGUUUUGUUUUGUUGGUUUUGGUUUCAAAGUCUUCUCAGGCUAAUCCGGCUCUUGGAAAGGUCUGCAGUGAAUCAGAGUCCUGGCAUGCUUCCCCUCCUGCCUCCCUCUCUCCCGAUUUCCUUUCUCUCCCUUCCUCCCUCAUUCCCCGUGAGCAUCCUCUCCCGUGUCGGCAGUGAAUGCAGCAGCAAGAAAAAAAGACUUGGGAAGACACUCUUUUCGGCAGGCUCAGCAGCCUAGGUACCAGAUGGCCUUGGGGUCAAGUCCAGGCCUGCCACUCAGUAACCAGGUGAUCAGUCGUGACUUCUCAUCUGAAAACGGGACUGGUGAUCUCUACUUCUCAGAAUUGUUGCAAGGACCAGGAUAACCGGGGCUGGUGAUGGAGUACAGUGACUGGCAUCCAGUUGCGCUCAGUACACAGAGGCUGGGAAACCGUCCCGAAGGACUCCUGGUUUCCCUUACCCACUCGGGGCUUUGGCCUUGGCAGCCAGUUAUCAUCCAUCCAGGCCCUUUGAGGUCUCAUUGGUUUUGUUUGCGUACGUUCUUCCUGGGUCACUCUUUCUCUUCUCGCUGAGCCGCCUCCUCCCUGAAGCCCUCUCGGAUGCCCGGGACUAAUACUUCCCAGCAUAGCACUAUUUGCCGGAUAGUAUAGGAUCUGUUGGAUUUGUCUCCUUGAGUACAUCGCUGACUUCAUGAACAUGGGGUGUGUGUAGAAGGUAUGACGAAGUAGGAGAAUGGGUUCUGGAGUCAGACAGAAUCCUGUUACACCUGGGAUUUAGGUGCCUUCAAUCUGGAAAAAAUACAUAUCCGUUCAGCACUCCAGAGGGACUUCAGAGCUGUCCUUCCCUGAACUAAAGCUGGAGUAUUUUAGGAUUUGGAGAAUUAAGUUUCUUUGUAGUGGCAAAGUGGAGUUCACUGGACAUUUCCCCCAGUCAAAAGUAGAUGACCUGUGCUGAAGAUGAAGCUAAAGAGAAUCUUGGAAAGAACUCGACAGUUCUUUGGACAUCACCAUGUGAGGGAAACUGAGGCCCAGAGAGGUGAAGCAUGGUCCAAGGCCACACAGCCAGUUGGAGGUGAGGAAACUACUGCUCAGAGAUGUGAAAUAACUCAGCAGAGGUCACACAGCUAAUAAGUGACAAACAGGAAUGUCCAAGCAGUGAAGGUCAUUUCCAGUCGCCGAGUCUUUCACAAGCCCAUGUCUGGACCGGGACAUCUCAUGUCUCAUCGUGAGCAGGAGACUGGAAAAUAACUGGCCGGAGGGGAUAGGCCCAGCAGUAACACUGGCCCAGAGAGAAUUGAGUGCUUUUUCCCGGUGACAAGAAGACACACGCAGCUGGAAAAAGGAGCCUAGGCCGUCACCAUGUUCCCCAAAUAGCAGAACACCUCCCUCCUUCCCACCUUCUCUCCCGUGGCACAGAAUACGUUUUACCAGGGAUCGGUCACUGCUGAGCUGUCGUCACUUAAUGUGGCUUUGACAGAAUAGUUGGUCUGGAAAUCUUAUUUUCAAUUAAAUGACCUUAUUGAACUGCCUUGGUUUUGAAAAGAUUCCAUUAGGAUGGCUAAUUAUAUAGCAGUUGCUCCAAGGAGAUGCUGGCACUCCAUUUCAGCUCUUAAGUAAUUCGAAUCAAAUGCUGUCUUCUUUCCUCCUUGGAGCUGUGAGCGACCGUCUUCCUCUCACACUGCAGGCUUCUCGUGAGUUAUUUUUGGAAAUCCAAGUCAAAACAGCAAUUUUGGCAGAGGCCAUUUCUAGCCUAGCAGAGUAAACCGUAUGUACUGAUAAAAACAGCCGAAGAGUCAGUGCCUUUAAAAAGCAACUAAACCAUCUCCUUCUGUGGGGGUUAAAUUUGGGGGACCUCCAAACUGUCCUUUGUACUGUCCUAUUCCUUCGUGAGCUCUAACUGAAGUCAAAGACAUUGGAAUUCCUUUAAGAUUAGCAAAGCUUUGUCCGUUUGCAAACUGUCAUCAUGGUCAUUUUGUUUCAAGGUGGCAGGCCUUGGCAGAAUUUACCAGGCACUCUGUUUUGGCCUCUGGAUCUCCCCUGAAACGUGGAAAUCACUUUCUGUUCCCAUUCUGUGCUGUUUGCUUCUGUCACCAGAGCACUCGCGACAUUCCUCGCGACAUUCCUCGUUACGCAUACCAAGCAGUCAGAUCUUCCUGCUCACCCGUUAGAACGGAGCUUCUUGUGGCCAGGGGCUGUGUUUUUCAUCUUAUUUCCUUCCUGGCCCAUAAUAGAUGCUCAAAUAGUUGGAUGAAUAGAUAGACUAGAUAGAUGAAUGAAUAGAAUCCUAUUUCUAUUUUUCUCCUUUUUAAAAAAAAAAUCAAUCAUUUAUUACAUAAAUAGUAAAUGAAUGUUUUCACCUUGGGGGGAAAAAACAGUUUCCAAAUAAGGUUAAAGUCCUUUUUUUUUUUUCCAGUUUUCUUUUUUUUUAAAGAUUGGCACCUGAGCUAACAACUGUUGCCAAUCUUCCUUUUUCUUUUUUCCUGUUUUUUCUCCCCAAAUCCCCCCAAUACAUAGUUGUGUAUUUUAGUGGUGGGUCCUUCUAGUUGUGGCGUAUGGGACACCACCUCACUGUGGCCUGAUGAGCGGCGCCAUGUCUGUACUCAGGAUGCGAAUCAGUGAAACCCUGGGCCGCCGAAGCAGAGCACACGACCUUAACGACUUGGCCCCAGGGCCGGCGCCUGAAGUCCUUUUUUGAUCACUGCCCAUGAUCCUUGUUUCCCCAUCAUCUCUGCUUAGGUUAUCCCUUUGGAGCACAUCCUCACAGACCUCUCUAAUGCGUUUAUGUACACGCACAUACACACACACAGAGUACUGUUUUUGUAGACCUGUGAUAAAGAGAUUAUUCUGCAACUUGCCUUUUCCUACUCAGCAAUAUAUCAAGUGCUAUCCAUGUCAGCUACCUUAUUCUUUGUAACUGCUACAUAGUUUUAUUACGUUGUGUGGCUAUAAUACCUUUUAUGUGGACCAAAUAAAUAAAUUCCUUAUCUGUUUUCAUGCUCAUUAUAGUUCAGGAUCCCUUCUCCUGUAUAUGUUGACAAACUAACCCUGUCCACUGCUAUCUUUUGGUAGCUACAGUACAUUUCAUCAGAAUCAGCCAAUUGCCCUGGGGAUUUUGCUAAACCAGUAGACAGAAUCAUGAGAAAUGAAAUGAGGGUUGCCAGAGGGACCUGAAUUCCCUUCUCUGCAGAAGCUAGGGAAGUAGGUGCACUCUGCACUGGGAAUACCACAGGUCUGGAGAGCGAGGGAUGUUAGAUUUCCUCGGGCAGGUCAUUUCCUAUCCCUGGACCUUAUUUUUCUCAUCUGCCCAAUGGACUCAGUGAGCCUCUUUCAACUGUUAGACCCUGAAUAAUAGGGCUGACACAGUGCCACCAGAACGGAUAAACAGAAUAUAUUAACUCUCUCUCCGCUAUGUGGCGGGAUGGGAAAGGGGCACGUUAAAAAUACUUUUUACGGGCCGGCCCCGUCGCCGAAUGGUUAAGUUCAUGUGCUCUGCUUUGGUGGCCCAGGGUUUGGAUCCUGGGCGCGGACAUGGCACUGCUCAUUAGGCCAUGUUGAGGCAGCAUCCCACAUGCCACAACUAGAAGGACCCACAACUAAAAUAGACAACUAUGUACUGGGGGGAUUUGGGGAGAAAAAAAAAGCAGGGAAAAAAAUAGAUUGGCAACAGUUGUUAGCUCAGAUGCCAAUCUUUAAUUAAAAAAAUAUGUAUUUUAAUUAUAUUUUUAUUCUAUUUUAAUUAAGAUAAAUUUUAAAAUUUUAAAAUAGAGAUUCAGCCCAGAGCCCUUCACUGUGUUCAUGUCACAAAGAGUCUGUGAUUGGCCAGGAAUGCACUGCCUCUAGAUCUCACACUUCUCUCUUAUUCUUUUCUUAUCCAAUUAAAAUGUUUAUAUUUUUUCCUUUGCUUUGUGUGGUCUUUUUGUCCUAAGCAAGGCAAUCGGGUGUUGGGGAGAGAGAUUAUGGACUCCUGAGUUCGACCAUCAGGUUUGUCUAGUUCUAGCUGUGUGUUCUUAGACAAGUCACUAACCUUCUCUGGGUUUCCAUCUAUUAAUAUGGUGAUUCCAAAUUAGCCAAGUAUUCAGUAAAAAAAACAAAAACAAAAGGUAAAACCAGACUCGCUUGUGAAUGUUUCAUCUGGCAUUUAUGAACCUUGUCACCUGCGGAUAGAUCAUCUCGUGAAUUGAUGAGGCAUCCUAAGAGACCACCAAAACUCAUUAAAUAGUCUUGGUUCACAUGAGAACUGUGCAGCUGCUCUGGCCCCUGGUGACACACCAAGUGUCAGUGGGUUCUGAGGGAGGCCCAGGGAAGGUUCUGUGCUGCCAUGAUUCAUAGGUUGAGUUUCCCUCUAAGCUUCAAGGCUUUGAUCACGUGUCCCCUGCUUUGAGAUGCAGGACCACAAGGGUCACAGGAUCUGAUUCACACACUGGUGGGUUUCCCUUGGGGUCCCCAUCAGGCUUUCCCAUGUAGGGUGAGAGUUCUCGUCCCUUGUCUUGGCAUUACACAUUGAUCUGGAGACACCAUGGUUCUGCAGGUGAAAGGUUGGGGUGAAUGGGUGUGAAAAGUGCGUGGGAGUCACAGCCCCAAAAGGUCUCUGGGAGUUUGUCUUUCCUGCUCCCAACACUGUUUUGCAUCUCUACCGUGAGCUUCUGUUUCUGAGCACCCCUUGAGCUAAGCUGAUCUGUUGAGCCGAUCUGUGGAGGAAUGAGGCCACUGUGAGCUACCUGCCGGGGCAGGUGACCUCACCCCUCCCAGCCUCUGCUUCCCACCCCGCUGGGUCUUUAAUAUGAAAUGAGACUGCAGUAGGUGCUGAGCUCGCAUCACCUUCCCAUUCCGCUUUCUGAUAUGGAAAGCAUCAUUUUAUAGGCUCUGAAUCUGUGUUCUGAGCUUCCAAAAGCCUACUGUAAACAUUUUACACAUUAACCAAAAUAAAACAAGAAGGCAGCACAGUGAAUGGAGAGAAUAUUAUUAGCAUGUUACACAUCUUAAAUUGGUAAAAAAAAAAAAAAAAGGAAUGAUGGAUCAUUUUCAUUUACGACUCUCACUCCCUGCUAAUUUUUCAGCAGCUCUCUCCUCGUCUCAAUAAAAUGCUGGAAAUCUAGUUGGCAUUGUUGCAAGUAAAUGCAGAGCCAGUCUCGACUGUCGCGCUGUCUCUCCCUGUAUUUGAUCCUCAUCCAGGUGAUCGAUACCAUUUUCAUUCAUAAUCCGGAAACUUUAAGAAAUGAAUCAGCUUGACCUAUGAUUCACAGAUACUUGAUCUGAAAUACUUGAUGUGGUUGUGAGGGGGUGGGAGGUAGAGUCAGAAAUAAAUUCCGUUGACCCCGAAAGUCAGCUUAGGUGAACUAGUAUGGUGGGGGAGGGCGAAUUAUCAUCCUGUGGUUUGUGUGGAUGGUUCCUGCUCUCAGGGAGCUGCACUGUAUUGGGGGGACUUAAGGUGGCCACACAACCAGGGUUGAUGAAAGAAUUCCAGGUUAUGCCCGUUGCUGCAGCCUCUUAGACGGUUAACGUGCCCUUCCACUAGCAGAAGUGUCACAGUGUGGAAAUAGAGGGUUCUGAAGAGACUAGACUGGGAGUUCUUAAAGGUCAGAGGUCUCAUUUUAUUCAUAUGUGCAUCCCCAGCGCCUGGCCUCUCGUAAGCAGUUAAUAAAAGAAAGACUUGCUAGGUGGGUGAGUGAGAACGUAAGUAGAUUCUUCACCUCCACUCUCUGAAUUUGGUCUCUGAAUUUCUGUUUCCCGUUUAUCUUUGUGUGCUCGGGCCGCUAGGGUGCCUCUACUGCGUUUUGACUGAACCAGAGAUUUCAGAACUUCAGCUGGGAAUCGCUUUGGUUGCAUGUACACGCCCUGGUGACCUGUAGCUUCACGACUUGCGGUGCGUUAUCCAAAUGAGUUUAUAACUUACCGAAGUACUGAAAACAGUGGCUUCCAUGAUGUCUCCUCCCAAGAAAUGGUGGUGGAGGUGGAGGUGAUGCUAUUCUUGUUAGCUGUCUGUCUUUGCUGCCUCUUGUCUUUUCUCCCCUAGCUAGAGGAUUCAUAGACCUUUAAAUACAUAUGUAUUUCAAAAAUAUAAGAAAUUGGAAAAAGAGAGUCAGAAAGCUAUCCAUAAUGUCAUGACCCUUGGUUACAUAGUAGCAAUUAUUAUUAAUGUGUGACUUGUUUUAUACAAAGUUUUUUACAUAGUUGUUAUCUUAAGGAGUUUUCCACUUUUUCUUCCAUCUGUAUUUUUCUGCAAGCAUUGCCCAUGUUAUUUGAGAACCUAUUCAACUACCAUUUGUUACUUUUAUCCAUAUGGUUGCUGGUAGAUGGUUGUUUACUUUUUUCCCUUUCGUAAAAGAAAUUUUCCUUCUGGGCUGUCCUGUAUCUCAAGAAAAUCUCAAAAGUGAAAUUAUUGGAUCAAAAGAUAUGAAUGUUGUUAAAUUAUAUGUAUAUCUAUAUUUAAAUGAAUAGAAUUUAUUUUUUAGAGAAAUUUUAGGUUUACAAAAAAUUGCGUAGAAAGUACAGAGAGCUCCCACAUCCUAGCCCCACCCCCAUUCCCCAUAUUGUUAACAUCUUGCAUUAGUAGGGUGCAUUUGUUACAGUUCAUGAACCAAAACUGAUACUUAUGGCUAAAGUCCAUAGUUUACAUUUAGGAUUCUGUGUUAAAUGGUUCUUUGGGAUUUUCGCAAAUGCAUAAUGUCACGUAGCCACCAUUAUAGUAUCAUGCAAAAUGGUUUUACAGCCCUAAAAAUCCCCUGGGCCCCUGUUAAUCCCUCCCUCCCUCCCUCUCUCAAACCCUUCGCAACCAGUGAUCUUCCACUCUUUCCAUCGUUUUGCCUUUCCCAGAACGUCAUAUAGUUGGAAUCACACAGUAUGUAGGCUUUCAGACAGGCUUCCUUCACUUAGCAGUAUGCGUUUAAGAUUCCUCUCCGUGUCUUUUCAUGGCUUGAUGGUUCAUUUCUUUUUAGGGCUAAAUAGUAUUCCGUGUCUGGAUGUACUACACUUUAUCUGUUCACUUACUGAAGGACAUCUUCAUUACUUCUAAGUUUUGGCAAUUAUGAAUAAAGCUGCUAUAAAUAUUCGUCUGCAGGCUUUUGAGGGGACAUGUUUUCAACUCAUUUGGUUAGACACCAAGGAAAGUGAUUGCUGGAUCACAUGGUAAGACUAUUUCUGUAAGUAACUGCCAAAGCUUUCUAUUUUUUACGUUUAUUCAACAGAUUUUAGUUGUAAUACCAUGAACAUGGUUAAUCCUCCAUCUACACUUAGUGUUAUAAUGAACACCCUCUCCUCAGUCUUUUUUUGUGUGUGAGGAAGAUUGGCUCUGAGCUAACAUCUAUGCCAAUCUUCCUCUAUUUAUUUGGGAUGCUGCCACAGCAUGGCUUGACGAGCAGUGCUAGGUCCACGCCUGGGAUCCGAACCUGAGAACCCUGGGCCACCAAAGCAGAGCACAUGAACUUAACCACUAUGUCAACAGGCUGGCCCCCUCUCCUCACUUUUAAGCCUACCGCUACCAUGUCACACAGAGAUGCUCAGAGUGGUGUUUUCAUCUGGAUCCAAGUAUAUUGUGGCCACAAAGUCUCAUAGCAUAAAAAUAGCAACAACAACAAUAAUAAUCUUGAUGAUAAUAAUAGCCAAGAAUUAUUGAUUACUUAGCAUUGUCAGGCUCUUUACAUGUGUUAUUUCAUUUCACCAUUACAGCUACCCUCUGGUUAGGUACCAUUACUACCCACAAUUUGGAGAUAAGAUCGAGGCUUAGGGAGAGUGAAUAACUUGCACAAGUGUUAGUGGUAAAGCCAAGUGUGCGUCCAUCUAGUUUUGCUCGACUCUGCUCAGCAAUGUAUUAUGCCAGAGUUAAGAGCAUGAGAUUUAGAGUCAGAUGGACGUAGGUUAGUAUUCUGGACCUACCAUUUUGCCAGUCAUGUGAUCUUGACCUGGUGACUUCUAGCUGCAGUGUGCCCAUCUGUAAAAUGGGAUAAUAACACCUACCCAUGGCAAAUGCUGUCUGUUGUCUCCUCAAUAGCUAUGGCCUCCCCACCACACAGAACCAGGUUCAGGUGUUAGGGAAGAGGCCCCAGAUCUCAGGGAAGAGAGGCCCCAUCCCAGCCUCCUGAAAUGAAUCAAGAUUGGUUUAAGUCAGAUAUGGUAAUGGUGGGCAUGUUAUCUAGUUUUGUUGGGGUAAGCAUGCUAGGGAGGGGUUCUCUUCCCAAGUAAAAAGACAAAGCCCCCCAUAGGGGAAGCUCAUACUUAUCUUUUCUUCCUGCCUGGAUGUUGGGCAUGAUACCUGGAGGUGCAGCAGCCAUCUUGCAAGCCUAAGCUGACAAGCUAAUAGACUAAAAUGGUAGAGCAGAAAAGAUAGAAAGAGCCUAGGUCAUUGACAGCAUCGUUAAGCUGUUCGACCAGCCCAAGACAGAAGACUACCUCCACGCUUUUUGCUAUUGAAACAGUUCUUACUUGUUUAUGCCACCCCAAGCUGAGUUGUCUUCUCUUUGCAGCUGAGAGCAUUUCUAAUAGAUAAACAGUUUUCCACCAAAGCACAGGGUUGAGUAACUUAGUAUGAUGGUUGAGAGCCCAAAUUCUAGACUUGGAGUUCUGGGGUUUUAUUCCUAGUUCUUCCACCAACCAGCUGUGUGACCUGGACAAGUCACUGAGCUUCUCUGUGCCUCACUGUCCUCAUCUGUAAAAUUCCCAAUAAAUGUGUACUGGGAUCGAAUGAGGGAUAAUAGUGCUACUUACCUCCCAAGAUUAUUAUGAGCGUUCAUAAAAUGACUAAGUAUUUUAUAAAAUGACUAGAGCAUAGCCCGACACAUAGUAAGUGGUUAUACGCAUGUUUGUCAAAAAAAAAACAAUUAAAGAAAAGGAGUCACUAUUACUGGCUUCAGUUUGAACCCCGAUGUGAUCCUUGGGCCACAUGCAGUAUUCAAGCAGAAGCUUGACCCUUUCACUCCCCAGACUCAUGGAGCAUGAAGCUCCCACUAAAAUCUGUCUCAAAGCAGCAACAGGUGGUUUCUUUUUAACAGAAAAGAUUCCUUAGAGCAGGUUGACUUAAAACAGGAGGGGCUGUGAUAUCAAGGCGUGUCAGGGAGUGAAUGACCGAAAUACCCAAACUUGCCCAUGCAAAUGGCUCUGAGUCUCCCCUGACUGCCCUUUAGAAGGUUCUAGACUUCUGUGAACUCCUUUUUGAAAGGGUCUUUCCACCAGUGGCUUAUUCUUUUGAAUCUCCUUACACCUUUCUUGCUGGUGGCUGGUGGGUGGGAGUGGGGAGGAAGGGGUGACACCUGCCUGCGUUCGGGGCCCUUUUCCCUUGUGAGGGACGAGACCGCUGGCCAGUAUGUGAGGGAGCUGGCUGGACCUGGUCUCUCUCACUGUCUACUGCCCACAGUGCCAUCCUCUGUAAAGAGCAGAUUUGAAUUUGGGCAGCAACUCAGCAUUUUUUGGAAACCUAUCUCGUUUGUGAGCUUAAAGAUAGACGUGCCCAUUACCAAAUCCAGUGGAAUCUUCCUUCAAAAUAUAUGCCUGUUCCACUCCUCACCCUCGCCUCCAGAGACAGUCCACACCAGGCCACCUCCCCUUCUGCCUGGAUUACUGCCUCGUAACUGGCCUUCCCGUUUCUACCCUCCCCUUCCUUCUCCCUCAGCAGCCAGGGGACCCUUUAAAAAUGUCAACCAAAUCAUUGGACUCACCUGCUGAGAACCCUCCAAUGGAGUCCCAUCUCACUUGGAAUAAAGUCCUCAGUCCCUACUGUGCCCUACGAGGCCCUCCCUGCCACCCCCGCUCACUCUACUCUCCCCACUGGCCUGGCUGUCAGUCAAACAUACCUAAGCACAGGCUGGCCUCAGGGCCUUAGCACGGAAUGUUCCCCUUUUUCCCUCUAUACCUGCCUGGCUCAUUUCCUCACCUCAUUCAGAUCUCUGCUCAGAUGUCAACUCCCAGAGAGGCCUUCCCUGGUCACCCCCUCUAACACAGGUCCCCUCACCCCUCAUUUUCUGUCGUUAUCUAUAGUUCAUAGACUUGCUGACAUUAUUACAAAUUUGGUGACUUUCUGCCUUCCCCAUCAGAAUAUAAGCCCUACAAGGAAAGAGGCAUUGUUUUGUUCAUUCAGGUACCCACAGAACCCAGAACAUUCUGCAAUUGGUGCUCAGUAUAUAGUAAACUAGAUAAAGCCUUUUUUUGGACAGAAAUAAGGUCUGUCUGACAAAGUUCUAAGCCUGAUGUCUCUUGUGAACCUGCCAAGUUGACCCUGAAUCCACUUCCCGGAAAGCUCCAGAUACAUUCUGGAUGAUGGGAGCAACGCCGGACCAGUGUUGAACAUCCCAAAGCAAGUACUUUGAGAAUGAAAGUGUGGGAGCCUGGAUGACUCCUCCUGCAUUUGUCUAAAAAUCCUCCUUAGCACCUUUAGUUCCUUUUCUCCCUUCCUCUGCUCCUGGGCACCAGACAAGCAAUCCCAAAUGUGGUGUCUUUGCACCGGUCAGAUCAGAGUUCUCAUCUGGGGUGGUUUAAAAACAACAUGGCCCCAUUCCUUGACAUUCUCCCCUUUGAAAGAUGGGAUCUGGGUCCUUUCCUUGAGUGUUGUGAUGGCUUCAAGCAGUAGUCACACAAGGGCACGCAGCUCCUGCCUGGUUUCUUUGGGAUGCCAUUCUGGGGAAGUACUCAGACUCCGUGCUGAAGAAGCCACAUGUACAUGCCCUGGUCCAUGGUCUCAGCUGAGCUCGCAGCCAGCACCCAGCACUGGCCGACAGCCAUGCCGGCUGCCAUCUUGGAUGUUAGGACCAUUUGCACUUUCAAAUGACCACAGCCCAGUGACAUCUGACUACAGGGUCAUGAGAAACACCCAGCCAAGCCCUUCCCGAAUUCCUGACCAAAAACUCAUGAGUAACAUAAAACGAGUAUUGUUUUACAACGCUAAGUUUUGCAGUAACUUGUACUCAGGAAUAGUAACCAGGACGCCACCCUAACCCUUCCCUAUGGACUAAGCAAUCUUGAGCAAAUUUCCUUUAAUACUCUGGGCAUGAGAUUUCUCAUGUGUGAGUUUGGAGUGACAGUCUAUAUUUAUGUGGCUGUUGUUUAGAUCAAAAGCAAAUUUUGUCUCAAACCUAGCAAGGUUCCCAGCACAUCCUGCCUUUCCUCAAAUCUAAGAUGCCGUCCAUUAUACAACUCACACUUAACUUAUGUGCCACUAAGAAAGAAACAAAUGCUUUCUAUUAAACUACUGAAUGCCACUGGUUGUAGGACACACACCUGUCUGGGAGAUGUUGAAAUUUGCAAAGAUGUGUAUCUUAGGAUCUUUGAUUUAAAGAGAGAUUAACACAAUCAUCUAGUUAAGUACAGGCACAGAACAAGACCACCGAGAUUUGAGUUUGUGAGAAACGGGGAACUUAAAGCAAAUGUGUCUUUGUAUGAAAGUCUCUAAUUUGCUGUCCCAUUUUACACAAUAGAAUGCAAAGAUCAGUAGAGACAACCUUGUAGUUCAGGCAGAAAGCACCUUCCUCAGGCAGCUGUCAAAGGGUUAGAAUUCAAAUGACAUGGCAUCACAGUUAUUUAACAGAAAUGUAUCUUGCAGAAGAAAGGAAGUCAGAUCCCUAAGUGUGGCUGUGAGUAAUAGUUUUUCUUAGUGGAAACUCACCUCUAGUAAUUAGUAAUAGACCAACCCCCUUUUCUCUUUGGUUUUUGAAUCGUUUCUUUUUUAGAACAUUAACUAGUAGUUCCGUGAGAGAUGUCAGCCAGUGAGCAAAAGGGGUCUGGGCAGUGAGCAGGAUGGCAGGAGACCCAGGCCACAUCUAGUGGAGCAGAAACACAAAGAAGCAUCAGAGUGUCAGCAGACUUGAAGCUAAGCCUGAAUAUGGAGUGCCUCAUUUAGUCAGUUCAGCCACGCAGAGUGUUCCUAUGUUGGCCCUCAUUUGAAAUGUGAGCCCGCUUCAGGACCAGUGAAGUGGAAUGUCUUGCUCAAAGUUACAUAGCUUGGUUCAUUAGACAGAGAGCCUAUGCUCUUAGCCACAGUGCUGUGUGCAUCAAAAUGUUUGCAAAGACAUGGAAGUGGGUUCAUAUGAGACUCUAGCCGGCCCAGGACUCUCAGCACAGCUAUCUUUCCAGCCUUACCCAAACAGGGAAUUCCUUUUCAUACCUCCUUGCUUUUGCCAAAGGGAGUUUUCUACCAAUCAGUUUCUUCUUGCCUCCCCCUUUUCCUGGUGAAACCAAACCAUCCUUCAAGGCCCAGCUCAAAUGGGGCAUCUUAACCCUUGUUCCUACAGGGUGAUUCCUAGCUGCCCUGGACUCCCAGGGCAUUGUCCCCGGGGCCCCUUGGCUGGCCCUCCUGGUGGUGUUGGUGGUUUCUGUUGGUCACACCUAUGAGACUGGAAGUUUCCUGAGGCUCUGGAAUUAGACUGAGUCAGAAUCCCACCUCUACAACUUACAGCUUGUGUUCUUGGGCAAGUUUCUUAGCUUUCUGGGCUUUAAUUUUCUCAUCUACAAAAUGAGAAUAUCAACUUCCCAGGAUUGUCAUGAAAAUUGUGUGUUUGCUGAGAUGGCAUCGUGAGGGCUGAACACUGUUCUUAUGUGAGAGGCGCUUGCUCAGUCUCUGCGUGCGUCAUCUCCUUUCGUCUUCACGCCCACCCUCUGAGGUUGGUUCUUUUACCAUCAUGCCCAUUUACAGAUGAGGUGACACCGUAUGCUCAUGGCCCCACAGCCAGAAUGUGACAAAACUGGGCUCUAAUCUUACCUUUUAAAACUCGCCUCUCUUGACAGGAUCCCGGCGGAAACCUUCCAUGGACUGCAUUCUGAGGAGGUUUUGUCACGUACCAACCUCUUUAGAUGUGCUUUAAUUUGGGUCUUAAUUUCCAACUCAUUCUUAUCUAGGAGAUCUUUACCCUGAUUUGAAGGAAAAUGAUGCUGCAACCAGCUUAGUCUCAGUAGAAGGUUUACACACAGCAUGUGCCAAUAACAGGUACUUCCACCCUUGGGCUCUUCCGGGUGGUGACUUAUCAGCACCACAAUUGUCCAUUUAUAUUGUGAACCAAACACAUGGAUCAGACUAUUGGCCUUGAAAAGCUCAAGCACAGCCUUCAGUGAAAUUCAGUUUCCACUUCAUUCUUUAGUCCAAAGGUUGUGACAAUGGCAGUCUCCGUCUCCCUCGUAUGACUUGGCUGGUUGGGUUUCUCUCUGGUUGACUGUAUUCCUGGCCUCUUGGGGACCCUCUAAAAUGGCAGGCAGAGGAAAGGAGGCAUUUCUGUGUGCUGCCUUCAUUUGUUCCUCAAGGGGUUUCGGCUAAACUCCCUAAACAAAAUGAAUUUGAUUUUAUCUGCCAGAGAACAUUCUAAGUAAAAAGAUCAAGAGCCAUCACCCCAUUGAGCUCUCUCCCCACAUCUCGAGAAGGCUGGGCUCCUUGGAGUGGAGAGUGGGCUGGGACCCCAUUCUGGCAGCAUAGCGGAGAUCUUCCUGCCUCAGUGUGGAUCUGGUGAAUGCUGAGGGACUCAGGGUGGGCUCCGAGGUGGACUCAUUGUCCCAGCUCACUGUGCAGACAGGGCAGUAAGUGCCAGGCCUGGGACUGUGGCCGUAACCUUGGCCGGUGGUCGGCCUUUACUUUCAGCAGCAGCAGAGGGAUCGUAACUGUGGUAGAGAAGGAUGUCGAGGCAGAAAUUGUUGAGGAUCUACACUGUGUCAAGCACUGAGAGAGUUUCUUCAGAUAUUUGGGAUUUUGAACGUAUCUACUCUUCUAAUUUAUUUCCAUCGUCCUCAGAGAACAUGUUCUGUGUGAUUUCGCUCCUUUGAAAUGUAUUGAGAGUGAUCUCGUGGUUCAACAUAUGGCCUGUCUUGGGGAACGAUGCAUGUGAACUUGAAAAGAAUGUGUCCUCUACAGGUUUGGGGUGGCGUGUUCCAUAGACAUUGGUUGUGAAAGACCCAGGACUCCGCCUGGUACAGAACAAUCUUCACUCUGCGGCGCCCCCAGGGGAGGGCAAGUGGGAGACAUCCAUGUGGGUGAAGAGGCACGGCCAGCCCCCCAACCCCAGGUGGCAGACUCUAUGCCAACUUGUCCUCCAUGUGGCCCCCAUAAGAAGAAAGGCCAAGAACUCUAAAAAGACCUCUGAGGCCAAGAGAAAAUGUCCAGGGAUUUGCUCGACGGAGAGAAGCUGGCCCUUGGAGAUGAGGAGGGGUGUAUGUACGUAAGACUCUCUCUCCCCAGCUGCUCUCUCUCUUCUCCUCAGGCCUUCAGCAAACAUUUAUCAGAGACUUGCUCUUCCUGGUAGCUGUUCUAUGUGUGGGGAUGUAAGGAUCAACAUUGCCCCUGUCCUCCCAGAAUUUUCAGGCCACCGGGAAUACAGGUAAUUAAACAGGCAAUUAUGCCCAACAGGGCAGGGGGCAUGCCUGGAAAAGUACGUAUAUAUCAGAAUAGAGCCGCUCUCGCUUUUUUCCUCCCUCUCUCCUCCUCCGUUACACAGAUCUGCAGAUCAAACAGGAGGAUUUCCGCAGGGAAGCUGAAAGGUAGAGAUGACAUGGUGCUAUCUGUCAACCUAUUAGAAAGCUUGAUGUAAUUAUUUCGUGAAGGGCAAGGGAUGUUGCCCUGGGAGAGGGGACCCUGGAGGUUCACGGAGUAGAGAAGAGAUACUGUGCAGACAAGGAAAAAAGUCUUUCCUGAGGUUGGUAAAUUUGUAUUUAUGGAAUUGGUUACAGGAGGCCCCAGUGGGAGGUUUUUCUUUCAAAUAGGUUUUGGCAACUCCAUAGAAGACGGUCUUUGCCCACCUUUGGUGAGCUCAUGGUUUCUGUUUCUUUUCUCACCAAAUUGUAUGCCUAAACUUCUAGAAAAUAGUCAUAUUGACCCACUUAAAUUUUCCACCUUUUUAAUUGCCCUUGUUCCUGGGUGGAGGGAGUAUAAUGAGCUAGCAGUGGGAGGUGGGGGUGGGAGGCGAAAGGUUAGACUGUCUUUGAUGAGCUGGGAGGAAGGCCUGGGGCUGCGUGAUCAGAGAAUGUGGUUCUUCGGUGGCCUUUGGGGUCACUUAUUAGGUUUGGGAACACUAGUUGGGAGUUCACCAAACAGCGUGCAGCCCAUGAGGGUGGGCGACUCUUUGUGGGAGCUGAGGAGAAGCCUGAGGAUCAGGGAGGACCCAUGCUAUACCCUGGGAGGUGGCAGAGGCUGUGGGCCCCACGAGACCCAACACCAGUAAUGGAGGAACUACUGGCAGCCGCUUGCUUAUAUCCCCCAUCCUCAUUACCACCCUGGGACCCAGGGAUCUGCAUUUUACCCGUGAGGCGACAGACACUGAGCAUAGUUAAGCCAAGUCGCUCAGCUCCGGCUAGAAGUGGUGGAUUUGAGAACUGAUUCCACACAAUCCCGGGCUCUGAGACCUUGGCUUCCAUUGCCACAUGCCCAGCUGCUUCCCUAGAGCUUUGGGGGCAGCUCCUGGAAUCAGGCUGCCUGGAUUCAGAUCCCAGCUCACUAUUCAACAGAACAAUGAUCCGAGGUCAGUUCCUCACCCUCGGGUUCCUCCUUUGUAAAAUGGGCUGGUUUGGUCACCGUGCUCAAGGACUGUUCUCGAUGCCCCAUUGAGCUCGUGCGGUGCAUGUAAAGCUCUGAGCACACGUGUAAGUGCUCCGUACGUGUUGGUUACCGUGCUUGUUAUUAACCCAGCAGGACAAGGAGGAAGGUUGGGGGCGUCCCGGGUGUGCUGUCGCUCCUCUGUUUCCUCCUCCCACUGUCCCGACUGGCAGGCAAUCAGGAGUUGGUUUUUCUGGUACAAAGCUUGCCCUGGUAUCCUGGAGUGACCUGCAGGCCUGAGAUUAUUGUACAGGCCCACACGCCCAGCCAAAUUUACCGCUCGCCUCGGUGGCCCCCUCAGCCUGUGCCUCUGUAGUUGAGAGAAACCGCUACCCUUCAGCCCGCGUUCUCGCUCUGGAAAGGCCUGACCUUUAUUCAGAAUCAUCCUCCAGUCCCCACGUCACACACAGGCUCGUUCACCCACUCCCUCCCCCGGCACGCCCUUUGUUUUCUCUCUUUGGGGGAGAUAAUGGGGACCACAGUGUCUCCAAGACAGCUGUUUUUCCUUCGUCUCUGUCUCUGUCCUUCUAACUCUCUGUUCCCCAGUGGGGUCUCUCUGACACAGGAGGGUACAGUGAGGAUAUGAAGGUGUUGAAGGACAGGGCUGUAGCGUCAAACAGCCUGGGCUUAAUCCUCUGAGGUCCAGAACAACUGCCCUUCACUUAACGUUCCUCAUGGGCAUGCC
rnacentral:lncRNA from 1 species